CUACGGGUCGCUGCAGUGGGGAAUAUUGCACAAUGGGGGAAACCCUGAUGCAGCAACGCCGCGUGAGUGAUGAAGGUCUUCGGAUUGUAAAGCUCUGUCUUUAGGGACGAUAAUGACGGUACCUAAGGAGGAAGCCACGGCUAACUACGUGCCAGCAGCCGCGGUAAUACGUAGGUGGCAAGCGUUGUCCGGAUUUACUGGGCGUAAAGGGAGCGUAGGCGGAUUUUUAAGUGGGAUGUGAAAUACCCGGGCUUAACCUGGGUGCUGCAUUCCAAACUGGAAGUCUAGAGUACAGGAGGGGAAAGCGGAAUUCCUAGUGUAGCGGUGAAAUGCGUAGAGAUUAGGAAGAACACCAGUGGCGAAGGCGGCUUUCUGGACUGUAACUGACGCUGAGGCUCGAAAGCGUGGGGAGCAAACAGGAUUAGAUACCCCAGUAGUC
rnacentral:rRNA from 1 species